rnacentral:rRNA from 1 species
UUCUGGCUCAGGAUGAACGCUAGCUACAGGCUUAACACAUGCAAGUCGUGGGGCAGCAUGGAGGUGCUGCAACUCCGAUGGCGACCGGCGCACGGGUGAGUAACGCGUAUCCAACCUUCCCCAUAGUAGGGGAUAGCCCGGCGAAAGUCGGAUUAAUACCCUAUGUUGUCCGAAGAUGGCAUCUGAUUCGGACGCAAAGAUUUAUCGCUAUGGGAUGGGGAUGCGUCCGAUUAGCUUGCCGGCGGGGUAACGGCCCACCGGGGCAACGAUCGGUAGGGGUUCUGAGAGGAAGGUCCCCCACACUGGUACUGAGACACGGACCAGACUCCUACGGGAGGCAGCAGUGAGGAAUAUUGGUCAAUGGGCGGGAGCCUGAACCAGCCAAGUAGCCGUGCAGGAUGACGGCCCUACGGGUUGUAAACUGCUUUUAUGCGGGGAUAAAGUGACGUACGCGUACGUUUUUGCAGGUACCGCAUGAAUAAGGACCGGCUAAUUCCGUGCCAGCCGCGGC